UUGCAUGCCUGGGUUUGCCCCCAACCCUGGGAAAGGGCCCAGCACCCCGAGAGGUUUUCUCUGAGCUGGGUACAGCAGGCUCUGCUUUGCAACCAGGAGCUCCAAGUAGCAGCUGGCACAGAAAGGAGAGACGGCCGCAGUCACAGCCCACCCAAGGCAGAGUGGGAUGUUGAAUUUUAAGCCCUGGAUAAGGUGGCCUGUUAGGUGUACGCUCUUGGGAUGCCUGUCUGUAAAAGACCCGGAGGAAAGAGAGCGGAGGAGAAGACGGCCAAGGCUGCCUGUGUUGGAACCGGCAUGCGGAGUCAUCUCGCAGGGGCUCAAACCGCAAGUUUGGCUGGCUGAUUGGGCAUUAAGUCAGCCUUUGUUUUUGCUCCCAAGCAACACAGCCUACCAGCCUGGAGCGCCCUGCACAUUCCUAGUGAGGUUUUGUAUCGGGGCCAAGACGAGUUUCAUCAGUGCAGAUAAACAAAGUUCGCUGCUUGUGAUUUGCUGGCGCAAACACGCCUGCCUGUGGUUCCCAGAGCCCCGGUCUGGGACUGGCUCUUCGUGGCCAUCUUCUGGGCUGGUGCUGGGGGAGACUGGCGCACAUACCAGAUGCUGAAACUUGCCCAGCUUUCGAGUUCCUGUCAGCUACACCUUGAGGAGUCUCGCCGCCUGCCCCAGCUGCCUUCCCUGGGCACCCCGUGGAGAGACCUUGCUCAGUCCCGCUGUCCCACAGCUUCAGAUGACUCGUCUCCACUCACAGUUCAACUGGACUCUGCCCUCUGGUGUCUGAAGUUUCCAGCUCCGCUCUGCUCCCGGGGCUUCAUUUAGCAGUCGUCCACGUGUAACUAGUCCCCCAGGGUCAGCCUUCAGCGUGUGGUCUCAUCUUAGCCCUCGGUCCUUCCUGGCCUGGGGGGAGGGCAGAGGGGCCGCUCUGUGACCUUCCUCCUUCGCCCCCAUCCUCUUCCUCCUCCCCGUGUAACCUGAUCCUCCCUGCUGCCAGGGACAUCCUUCCUGUCAGACUCUGAAACACCUGAAUGGCUUCUAAGGACUUUAGGAAUAAAGUAUAAACUCCUCAAUAUGGACAAGUCAGAGAGAAGAGGGGGAAGGGAGGGAGGGCAGCAGGGGAGAAGGGCAGAAGGGAGGGAGGGAGAGACAGAGACAGACAGAGAGACAGAGAGACAGAGAGACAGAGAAGCAUCCACACCCUCCCCCUGACCGUCUGCAGCCUCCCUUCCCCCUCUUCCAAGCUGAUGUCCGCCUAGACACCACUGUCUUGCUGAGCACCAGGUUGUCCAGCACCGCAGUUCUGGGUGAGGUGGCCCCUCCGCGCCCCUCCUCAUCUCCUCCCACAGCUGUCUCGUGUGUCUGUCCGCUGCCCACGUGGCUCUGCGGCACGAGGGGCAGGGUCUUCCUCUCCCCUCCUGCUCGAGCCUCCUGCAUCUCCACCCAGCCUCCGCACAGCUCAUGCCCUGUGUUCUCUCUCAGAACGUGAAGAGGCGCCUUAAACCUCUUCUUUCCCCUCGCCGUGGUCCCAAGCCCGUGACGCCUCCCUUCGAAGACCUUUUGGGCUUGUUUCUGGCAGACUCCAGCUUAUCGCCACAUCCCCAGUGCCCGGCUGAGGGCUGACUCUCGGAGGGUGCUCAGGCCACUCACUCGCGGCUGUGCACACAGCUGGAGCGAACUCACGCACCGUGACUUCUAAUGGCCUUGGUGCCCCUGGCGCCUCGUGGCUCUGGAGCGUGGGGUUGUUUACAGACGUGCUGUUAACUGCCAAGAGCAGAUCUGAGCAUUUUCCACGGUGGCUGGAGCCGGGUUUAUAUGUGUGCUGGCACCUGCACCCCUCUUGCGUGUUUUCAUUUCUUCUGAAGUUCCACCCCCUGUAAAAACAGGCCCGCAUGACUGUGUGUAUCCAGCAGGGCCUGCACAUGUCUCACACAUCUGUACUGUGUCCAGCUUAGCUCCCGGAACACCUCUGAGCUGGCCAGGGCAGACUGAAGCGCAGUGACGACAAACCCAGAGAGGUUCUCCACAUUUAUGCAAAGGACAGUCUUCAUUUAAUAUCUCAGGUCAGAUGUCUUCUUCGCCUAGGAACCAACACCUGGGAAUGAGAUCGACUACACUGUGUACUCACAUUGUUUUCCCCAGAGGAAACUGCAGUAUCUGAUGCCCUUGUGUGCAACAUCAAGUGACCCUUAAGUCAGCCUCUUAAGAGGUAGAAGAGGAUGCAGAAAUUGCAGCCAGCUCUUGACUGUUGACCUUCUGCAUUUCCCUGUUCUCUGGAAAUGUCGAGCAGACUGAAGAAGGAAGAGGCGUCAAACUCACAUCUGCCAACUUAUCAGGCCCUCUGGAAGAACACUUUGUGGGGGAGAGGCUGGAAUAGUGGCUAGCACGAAGCUUUUAGUGUGGCCCUUGUGUUUCACUCUUCCUGAGCCAUUCAUAGCCCAUGUGUCAGAAAACAGGAAGCUAGGUGCCAUUCUGAUAUCCUAAUUCUAGAAAUUCUGAAGAGUUCUGAGGCCAGAACAUGAGGACAUUAUGAAGGAUGUUAGAAAUUUUUAAAAAGUUUUCCCAUUACUUACGAAUUUGUCACUUUCCAUCCGUGGGACAAAAUACCCAGCACUUGCAAUUUAAAGGAGCAGAGGUUCAGUCUAGCUUGUGGUACAAGGGUGUUCAGUCCAUGGUUGCUGCCUCCCGGCAGAAACAGCACGGCAGAAGGAUGCAGUGGAGGAAACCUGCUCAGUUCUGGGUGCCCACAAAGCAGAGCAAGAAGGGCAGAGCCAGGGCAAGAAUACACCCUGCCAGGGCCCACCCAGCCACCCACCCCCAGCCAUGUACCCUCCCAACAACAAUUGUAAGCUUGUCAGUAGGUUAAUAGGUUAGCCCACUGAGGAGUAUGGAAUCCCCAUGGGGCAAGCUUGGUACAGAAGUGCUACCUCUGAACGCGUGAGACCUCGGGGGACACCUUAGAUCUAACCCACAAUGGUAUGUUUUCAUGCACCCUGAUUUCCACAAGCUUGUUAUUGUGCUAUUUACUCUGGAAGAUGAUCAUCUCCAGCAAGAUCUGCAACUGUUUGAGGGGAAUACUGAUAUACGAACAGCACAAGGGCCAAUCAAAAAAUAUGGUGUGUAUUUAAAUUUAAAAAUGUAUUAUAGUAAAAGACACAUUGCCAUUAACCUCCUUGAA